AUUGAACGCUGGCGGCAGGCCUAACACAUGCAAGUCGAGCGAGCGGCGGACGGGUGAGUAAAGUCUGGGAAACUGCCUGAUGGAGGGGGAUAACUACUGGAAACGGUAGCUAAUACCGCAUACCAUCAGAUGUGCCCAGAUGGGUUUAGUUAGUAGGGGGGGAAACGGCUCACCUAGGCGACGAUCCCUAGCUGGGCUGAGAGGAUGACCAGCCACACUGGAACUGAGCGACGGUCCAGACUCCUACGGGAGGCAGCAGUUGGGAAUAUUGCACAAUGGGCGCAAGCCUGAUGCAGCCAUGCCGCGGGUGUGAAGAAGGCCUUCGGGUUGUAAAGCACUUUCAGCGGGGAGGCGUUACCCGCAGAAGAAGCACCGGCUAACUCCGUGCCAGCAGCCGCGGUAAUAC
rnacentral:rRNA from 1 species